rnacentral:lncRNA from 1 species
CAACUCUCCAGGCAAUGCUGCUUUAUAUGAACCCUGUAUUAUAAGUAACCAUAUCUUUUAUAAUUGCAUGGCUGGGAUUAAUGCAUGCAGCACAUUACUGGCUCAUGCUGAAGACCAAACACAGAGGUGAUGAUGGGAGUGUGGAUGACUUUGAGAAAUACUGUGACAUUUAUACGUGCAUAAGAGACACCACCCAAAGGGCAGUGGCUCUGUCUAUGUAUAGAGAAGCUUUCUAUAAAUCAAAGUAAGGGCUAUCAGAUAGCUGUACAGUCUCCCACUUACAGAUCAUUUCUGGAUCCCAUUUUGAGGAAUCUAAUUCUUCCUGUGUUUUGUGUAGGGAGCACAAGGUUUGGAUUUCCACUCUGGAGAGAUGUGUCUCCUUUUCAGGAGGACACAGACAGAACUGGCUGAUUGAAACACACCAUGGGGAUGUGAACAUUUCCCAGGAGUGAAGACCAUCAAUAGCAUAAGGAAAAAGUAUUAAAAGUAUUAAGAUGACCUCCCAGACGUUAUUACAUCUCAGUAAUCUCUGGGUGGAGGAAGCGAAUAUGACUGGACCCCCUGGGUCUAAAAAUAGCCUGCACUGCCAACAAGGGAUGGGAAAUGCAAGAGGACUGAGUCACCGACCACGUGGAUUAGGGAUGGCAAACCUUUCACUAGGAAUCUGAACCCUGAUGCAGAGUACAGGACCCAAAGGAUGAAUGCAUGUGUCUCUAGCUGAGCUGGAUGAGUGAGUCUGGGAGCUGAUAAUGCAGAGAUGUGAGAGAGAAAGGGUAAUCUUCAAGUGACCACCAUGAGUUAGGAAAGCUAUCUGUCAUGUCGAGGUAGGGAGAAGCACUCCCUGAAUGCCAGGCUCUCCAGGGAUUUUGUGAUGUGUCCAGUUGGCAUUUGCAGAAUGUACCCAUUUUCCUCUAUUGUCGGGGACACUGGAAGUUAGAGAAAGAGAGGGGGGUGCCUAACCUCUGGUAGGGCUCUUUGCUUGGUCUUAAGCUCUACUACAAAGGAAGGCUGCAGUGCAGAAUGAGACUCCUACUCUCAGCUGCUACAAUUUUUGUCCGAGAAAGAGAACUUGGUUCACAUAUUUCCCCCUGUCAUGGACCGUGACAAGGAGCACUCUUUCAGAUGAGCCCUCCGGCAAUUGCCAGGCAGGUCCGGAGUGACAAGGCAGGCCCAAGGUCAAGCCAGGAAGACAGGUCAGUGAGGCAUGGUCAGGACUGGCAAGGCAGGGUGCCUGGCACAGGUGUGCCGGCAGCAUAGCGCAAGUGAAGACCUGGGCUGAGAAGCUGUUGCUGAGCCAAGGGGCAGAGCCUCCGUCGCAGCUUCUCCCAGCCCUUCCUCGCCCAGCUCUUUCCCAGCAGUUGGCACCUGAUUAUACAUCUGCGCCAUGUCAGAGCCACCCUUGGGCGCAGGCAGCCGAACCCCUCAGGGAGGUGGGGGAAGAGGACCAGAGUCCCUUGGUGCACUCAGGGCCCUAACACAGAGGUCUAUUCUUUGUUUUGCAAUUCCUUUUAGCUGUUGGUGAUACCAUCUUUUUUACUACUACUACUAAGCCUUUAGAAAGCCCAGUACAGGUGAGAGGGCUGGUAGAACUCGCUC